rnacentral:rRNA from 1 species
UAGCUGGUCUGAGAGGAUGRCCAGCCACACUGGAACUGAGACACGGUCCAGACUCCUACGGGAGGCAGCAGUGGGGAAUAUUGGACAAUGGGGGCAACCCUGAUCCAGCAAUGCCGCGUGUGUGAAGAAGGCCUGAGGGUUGUAAAGCACUUUCAGUGGGGAGGAGGAUUGAUWGGUUAAGAGCUAAUUAAUUGGACGUUACCCACAGAAGAAGCACCGGCUAACUCCGUGCCAGCAGCCGCGGUAAUACGGAGGGUGCGAGCGUUAAUCGGAAUUACUGGGCGUAAAGGGUGCGUAGGUGGUUUAUUAAGUUAUCUGUGAAAUCCCUGGGCUUAACCUGGGCAGGUCAGAUAAUACUGGUUAACUCGAGUAUGG